rnacentral:rRNA from 1 species
CGCCUGUUUAUCAAAAACAUGUCUUUUUGUUAAUUAUUUAAAGUCUGGCCUGCUCAAUGAUUUAUUUAAAUAGCCGCAGUAUUUUGACUGUGCAAAGGUAGCAUAAUCAUUAGUUUUUUAAUUGAAAGCUGGAAUGAAUGGUUGGAUGAGAAAGUUUCUGUCUCACUUUGAAUUUAAUUGAAUUUUAUUUUUAAGUUAAAAAGCUUAAAUUUAAUAAAAAGACGAGAAGACCCUAUAGAGUUUAAUAGUUUGUAUUUCUAUUGUUUAAGGGUUUAAAUUUAAUUGUUAUAUAUUCUAUUUUGUUGGGGUGACAAAAGAAUUUGAUUAACUUCUUUUAAUUUUAACAUUGAUUUAUGAAAAAUUGAUCCUGAGUUUUGGAUUAAAAGAUUAAAUUACCUUAGGGAUAACAGCGUAAUCUUUUUGGAGAGUUCUUAUCGAUAGAAGGGAUUGCGACCUCGAUGUUGGAUUAAAGUAGAUUUACGGUGUAGAAGCUGUAAUCUUG